rnacentral:rRNA from 1 species
AUUGAACGCUGGCGGCAUGCUUUACACAUGCAAGUCGAACGGUAACAGGCCGCAAGGUGCUGACGAGUGGCGAACGGGUGAGUAAUGCAUCGGAACGUGCCCAGUCGUGGGGGAUAACUACUCGCAAGAGUAGCUAAUACCGCAUACGAUCUAUGGUUGAAAGCGGGGGACCGUAAGGCCUCGCGCGAUUGGUGCGGCCGAUGUCAGAUUAGGUAGUUGGUGGGGUAAAGGCUCACCAAGCCAACGAUCUGUAGCUGGUCUGAGAGGACGACCCGCCACACUGGAACUGAGACACGGCCCAGACUCCUACGGGAGGCAGCAGUGGGGAAUUUUGGACAAUGGGCGCAAGCCUGAUCCAGCAAUGCCGCGUGCAGGAAGAAGGCCUUCGGGUUGUAAACUGCUUUUGUACGGAACGAAACGGCUCUGGUUAAUACCCGGGGCUAAUGACGGUACCGUAAGAAUAAGCACCGGCUAACUACGUG